CUUUUUUUAAUUUCAUUCCACCCCAGACCCCGGCCUUAGCUGGCUUGGGGGUAAUUCCCUUGCCAGAACAGCCUCCAGAGCAGCAAAGCGCUUAGCGUCUAAUGCCUGAUGAAAGAUUAGGAACAAUGCACAACACACGCAGCUCUAAAACGUACGUUGCAUAACAAUGCUACAUAAUUUCAUGAAGAUCUGGCAAUUCUGCAGAAAGGACUCUACUCCUGUUCUGAAAGCGACGUAAGCGAGAAGCGGCGAGUACAGAAGCAUUGCUAAACCCGUGCCUGCUGCGGGCUCUCACCUGGCGGUGACCAGACGUGUUGGUGACACGUCAGAGGACAGCACGCCGUUCCUCCUUGUAGGUGCUACCUCUCCGUGCAGCUACGUGACCUCACUGCAGCCAGAAACGGGGAGAGGGGAAGCAGAACCUGCUGUCUCUUGUAGCGUUGUUUGAAUGAGCACGAACGAGGAAGGAAGCAGAUAACCGCGCUCACCUGUCCCUCGCUUGGAACGUGGUGAGGCACGAGCCCUCCUAAAAGGGAAUUUUCAUGUUUAUGUGCUGUAAUGACCCAGCUGUGCUGCUCUCAGUAAAAAGGCAGUGUUCCCAAUGAUCGGAAGUGUCCAGCUCAGCGCCUUUGCUCAGGCUUGCCUACUCACGUGCAGAAGAAACAGAUGUGCCAGCAACUGCUGAAUAAUCACCCUGAGACAGCCAUCAGAAGGGGAGAUGUCUCAAGGAAGGAGCUUGCUUGCUUUCUCUUUUUAUGUGGCCUGUCCUACUUCUGGGCUCGUGCUGCUGUGCUCAGAGAAUGAGUCUUACCCUCCUCUUUUUCCCUGCGCUGGAGCUGUAAAUUCUCCAAGUAGGUGGUCAGCUCUCCUGCUAGGGGGCUGUGCAGCAGCCUGCGGGUGCGAAGUAACCCAGCAGGACCAGUCUUAAGCUAUUGUGGUAGUGAGAGGAGCGUGCCAGCAGAUCUGAGUGAAACGGGAUAAUGGGGAUCUGCCUCCCUGAAAAAUGCUGUUGCUGGAGCAGAAGUGUCUAUAUAUGAACUUCUUGGAGAAUUUUAGGUAGCACUGUGAAUUAUGCCAUGGGGGAUUGAAGCAGUAAAGGGAAGCUUGGCGUGUGACACCUUAUCCAGCGCUGUAAUCAGCAGUAUCCAAGUCUGCGGACACAUGGCCGAUAAUCUGAAUACCAGUUUUUAGUGGCAACUGCUAUCCCCAUCUGUUUUCCUGCGGCUCUGAAUGACUUCAUUUGAUACUUAUGUUCCCUGUUUCCUUGUACGCAUUGGAAUGCAGCCCACUUGAGAAAACAUGUAAUUCAAUUAACUUUCCCCAGGAAAAUGGGA